UCGAUCUCAAAUCAAGUAAGACUACCCGCUGAACUUAAGCAUAUCAAAACC
rnacentral:rRNA from 1 species